rnacentral:rRNA from 1 species
GACGAACCGUGCGAACGUUGUUCGGAAUCACUGGGCUUAAAGGGCGCGUAGGCGGGUUCGCAAGUCUGUGGUGAAAGCCUCCAGCUUAACUGGGGAACUGCGUGUGAGACUGGCAGGCUCGAGGGCAGGAGAGGAACGCGGAAUUCCAGGUGUAGCGGUGAAAUGCGUAGAUAUCUGGAGGAACACCGGUGGCGAAGGCGGCGUUCUGGACUGUCUCUGACACUGAAGAACGAAAGCCAGGGGAGCAAACGGG